AACGAACGCUGGCGGCGUGCUUAACACAUGCAAGUCGAACGUGAAAGUCCCUUCGGGGGCGAGUAAAGUGGCGCACGGGUGAGUAACGCGUAGGAACGUGCCUAAGGGUGGGGAAUAACCACGGGAAACCGUGGCUAAUACCGCAUAAUAUCGCAAGAUCAAAGGAGGCCUCUGCUUGCAAGCUUCCGCCGUUAGAGCGGCCUACGUCCUAUUAGCUAGUUGGUAGGGUAAAAGCCUACCAAGGCGAUGAUGGGUAACUGGUCUGAGAGGAUGAUCAGUCACACUGGAACUGAGACACGGUCCAGACUCCUACGGGAGGCAGCAGUGGGGAAUCUUGCACAAUGGGCGAAAGCCUGAUGCAGCAACGCCGCGUGGGUGAAGAAGGUCUUCGGAUUGUAAAGCCCUUUCGGCUGGGAGAAGGGCGAAGUAGUUAAUACCUACCUCGUCUGACGGUACCAGAAGAAGAAGCACCGGCUAAUUCCGUGCCAGCAGCCGCGGUAAUACGGAAGGUGC
rnacentral:rRNA from 1 species